rnacentral:rRNA from 1 species
CAAAGAUUAAGCCAUGCAUGUCUAAGUAUAAGCAAUUUGUACUGUGAAACUGCGAAUGGCUCAUUAAAUCAGUUAUCGUUUAUUUGAUAGUACCUUACUACAUGGAUACCUGUGGUAAUUCUAGAGCUAAUACAUGCUAAAAACCUCGACUUCGGAAGGGGUGUAUUUAUUAGAUAAAAAACCAAUGCCCUUCGGGGCUCCUUGGUGAAUCAUAAUAACUUAGCGAAUCGCAUGGCCUUGCGCCGGCGAUGGUUCAUUCAAAUUUCUGCCCUAUCAACUUUCGAUGGUAGGAUAGUGGCCUACCAUGGUGGCAACGGGUAACGGGGAAUUAGGGUUCGAUUCCGGAGAGGGAGCCUGAGAAACGGCUACCACAUCCAAGGAAGGCAGCAGGCGCGCAAAUUACCCAAUCCCGACACGGGGAGGUAGUGACAAUAAAUACUGAUACGGGGCUCCUUUGGGUCUCGUAAUUGGAAUGAGUACAAUCUAAAUCCCUUAACGAGGAACAAUUGGAGGGCAAGUCUGGUGCCAGCAGCCAAUCGAAUU